rnacentral:rRNA from 1 species
AUGGCGACCGGCGCACGGGUGAGUAACACGUAUCCAACCUGCCGAUAACUCGGGGAUAGCCUUUCGAAAGAAAGAUUAAUGCCCGAUGGUAUAAUCAGACCGCAUGGUUUGAUUAUUAAAGAAUUUCGGUUAUCGAUGGGGAUGCGUUCCAUUAGGCAGUUGGUGAGGUAACGGCUCACCAAACCUUCGAUGGAUAGGGGUUCUGAGAGGAAGGUCCCCCACAUUGGAACUGAGACACGGUCCAA